rnacentral:rRNA from 1 species
UACAGAGGGGGCAAGCGUUGUUCGGAAUUACUGGGCGUAAAGGGCGCGUAGGCGGCCUUCUAAGUCGAACGUGAAAUCCCCGGGCUCAACCCGGGAACUGCGUCCGAUACUGGAAGGCUUGAAUCCGGGAGAGGGAUGCGGAAUUCCAGGUGUAGCGGUGAAAUGCGUAGAUAUCAGGAGGAACACCAGUGGCGAAGGCGGUGGUCUGGGCCGGAACUGACGCUGUAGAGCGAAAGCGUGGGGAGCGAACAG